UUCGGGAGCACGAAACGCUCCGUGGAUGGCCACGCCCAUGAUCCCAACUGCUAGAGUGGACAUCAAGAGCGAUCCAACGCUGGUCAUGAACAUCACCACCACAGUGGACAGGCAGAGUAUCCCUAGCGUCUCAAGAUCGGAGAACGUGCGUCCUCCAAUGACCAACGGCUGAUCCGCCGGACGGAAAAAGUAGAGGAAAAGCCAAGAAGCGGCCAGCGAUGCGAGGAGGAAGAGAGCGAAAGGGUGCGUGAGCAGAGACGCGGCGAGUAAGAUUGCCACUAAGGUUAUGUAAUUGGCUCGGA